AGUGAACGCUGGCGGCAUGCCUAACACAUGCAAGUCGAACGGCAGCAUAGUAAGAGCUUGCUCUUACGUGUGGCGCGUGUCGGACGGGUGACUAAUACUUCGGAUUCCUCUCUUUCGUGGGUGAUAACGUAGGGAAACUUAUGCUAACACCGCAUAUGUCGUACUUGGGAAAGCAGGGGAUCUUCUGACCUUGCGCUAUUGAAUGAGCCUAUGUCGGAUGAGCUAGUUGGCGGGGUUAAGGCCCAACAAGGCGACGCUCCGUAGCUGGUCUGAGAGGAUGAUCAGCCACACUGGAACUGAGACACGGUCCAGACACCUACGGGAGGCAGCAGUGGGGAAUAUUGGACAAUGGGCGAAAGCCUGAUCCAGCCAUACCGCGUGAGUGAAGAAGGCCUUCGGGUUGGAAAGCGAUUUUGUUGGGAAAGAAAAGAAGCAGGUUAAUACCCCGCUGUUAUGACGGUACCCAAAGAAUAAGCUCCGGCUAACUUCGUG
rnacentral:rRNA from 1 species